rnacentral:rRNA from 1 species
AGAGUUUGAUCCUGGCUCAGGAUAAACGCUGGCGGCGUGCCUAACACAUGCAAGUCGAACGCGCUUCGCAAGAAGCGAGUGGCGGACGGGUGAGUAACACGUGGGAACCUACCUUGAGGUGAGGGAUACCGGCGAGAAAUCGCCGACAAGCCCGCAUACGCUCGGUGACGAGCAAAGCUCUUUCGGGAGCGCCCCAGGAUGGGCCCGCGGCCGAUUAGCUAGUUGGUGGGGUAAGCGCUCACCAAGGCGUCGAUCGGUAGCUGGUCUGGGAGGACGAUCAGCCACACUGGGAUUGAGAACGGCCCAGACUCCUACGGGGGGCAGCAGUGAGGAAUUUUCCGCAAUGGAGGCAACUCUGACGGAGCAACGCCGCGUGCAGGAGGACGGCCUUCGGGUUGUAAACUGCUUUUCUGUGGGAAGAGAACGGACGGUACCACAGGAACAAGCCCCGGCUAACUACGUGCCAGCAGCCGCGGUAAUACGUAGGGGGCAAGCGUUGUCCGGAGUUACUGGGCGUAAAGGGCACGCAGGCGGUUGUGUCAGUUUGCGGGGACAGUGGGCGGCUUAACUGCCCAAGGGUCGCAAAGACGGCACGACUAGAGAGCGAGAGAGGGACCUGGAACUCCGGGUGGAGCGGUGAAAUGCGUAGAGAUCCGGAAGAACACCACUGGCGUAGGCAAGGUCCUGGCUCGUAUCUGACGCUGAGGUGCGAAAGCUAGGGGAGCGAACGGGAUUAGAUACCCCGGUAGUCCUAGCCGUAAACGAUGACCACUAGAUGUGGGAGGUAUCGACCCCUUCCGUGUCGCAGUUAACACGUUAAGUGGUCCGCCUGGGGAGUACGGUCGCAAGAUUAAAACUUAAAGGAAUUGACGG